GGUCGCAUAGCUCAGUUGGUUAGAGCGUUGCAUUCACAUUGCAAAGGCCCCUGGUUCGAGUCCAGGUGCGACCACCA
rnacentral:tRNA from 1 species